rnacentral:sRNA from 1 species
GCCGGGCGCGGUGGCUCAUGCCUAUAAUCCCAGCACUUUGGGAGGCUGAGGCGGGUGGAUCACCUGAGGUCAGGAGUUCUUUCGAGACCAGUCUGGCCAACAUAGUGAAACCCCGUCUUUACUAAAAAUACAAAAAAUUAGCCGGGCACAGUGGUGCACAUCUGUAGUCCCAGCUAUUCAGGAGGCUGAGGCAGGACAAUUGCUUGAACCCAGGAUCACGAGGUCAGGAGUUCAAGACCAGCCUGGCCAAUAUGGUGAAACCCCGUCUCU